AAUCAAGGAAUAUAAAUAAAUCCACCUUCGCAUAGCAUCUCUCAAGCCUCCACUCAUUGCAAAUUUCCUACUUCAUUUCCUUAAAAAACUUUUGCCUCCUAUCAUCUCUUGUUUCUUAGAUUCUAGAAAUGGGAAAGUUUAUAUGGUUGUGUCCAAUCCGUAGUCUCCUCUUCGUGCUGUUCUUUCUUUCUGUAGUCGAUUCUUUUCUGAGUUUGUCUUCCUCUUCUCUUAAUCCUACCCUUUUGUGUCUACCAGAAGACACCUCCGCCUUGCUCCAAUUCAACAACACUCUAUUCAUUUAUGAAUCUGCUCAUGAUUUAUGUGCAUAUCCCAAAACAAAAUCUUGGAAUGAAAGCACAAACUCUGCACAUGGGAGGGAGUCACUUGUAAUAAAGUAACUGGUCAGGUGAUUAGCCUCGACCUUAGUUGCUCUAUGCUUACCGGCUCACUUUCCCCAAACACCAGCCUUUUUCGCCUUCAAGGGCUCAAACGACUCAACCUUUCUUUUAGCAAUUUCAGUGGUUCGAUUCCAUCUGGGUUUAGUCAGUUAGUUCAAUUUUCAAGUGGGAUUAGAAGGUUGGGAACAAUUGUGUUGGAAAUUGGCCUGCAUGCAGCAUGUGAAUUUCCAACAUGUCAAGAAGCAGCCAGAGCCAUGUAUGCAGCUGUGAAGAAAAGAGAUUAAACUGUUGUAUUAUUACUGGGUGAAGUAUGCAUCUUGAACCAGAAAAGUUGGCUUCCAUGCAGCUCAUGCAGAUUCAUGCACACAAGAAUUCAUGUACAUAAGUUGUCCGGGUAAAGAACGUGCAAUAAUCCAUGUUCUCGGUUAAAGUGCGUGCAACUGAAGAUGUUAAUGCUACUGCUUCAUCUCAGUUUCAUUUUGUUACCUUUUAACAAUAUUUUUAUAAUUUAGUUCAUUUUGAAUUAUGUUUGAAUGACAAGUUGAUGUAACUUAAUGGUCAAAGAGCUAGUUACCAACUUUGUUUAAGUGUGCAAGUAAUAUCACCUAGUUCCAAUGUAAUAA